CCUACGGGGGGCUGCAGUGGGGAAUAUUGCACAAUGGGCGAAAGCCUGAUGCAGCAACGCCGCGUGAGCGAUGAAGGCCUUCGGGUCGUAAAGCUCUGUCCUAUGGGAAGAUAAUGACGGUACCAUAGGAGGAAGCCCCGGCUAACUACGUGCCAGCAGCCGCGGUAAUACGUAGGGGGCAAGCGUUAUCCGGAAUUACUGGGCGUAAAGGGUGCGUAGGCGGUUUAUCAAGUCAGGGGUGAAAGGCUACGGCUCAACCGUAGUGAGCCUCUGAAACUGGUGAACUUGAGUGUAGGAGAGGAAAGUGGAAUUCCCAGUGUAGCGGUGAAAUGCGUAGAUAUUGGGAGGAACACCAGUGGCGAAGGCGACUUUCUGGACUACAACUGACGCUGAGGCACGAAAGCGUGGGGAGCAAACAGGAUUAGAUACCCCUGUAGUC
rnacentral:rRNA from 1 species